AGCAGCGGGAUAAUCUGCUAAAGCCCAGAAAGGAGAGAUUCAGCAUGCGCACCACCCUCGUAGGGCCUAUGAGCAAAUUUGCACAUAAAUAAGGAGCCAACUUUGCUUUGAACGGGAGGUCGAGGGAGAAAGCAUCAGAGAAAGGAAGAGAGAGUCAGAGAUACAGAGUGAAGAGUUGAAGCCACAGCUGCCUGCCGGCUGGUCGGACCUAGACAAAGUUCAACAUUUAAUGCUCCRCAAGGGAAGAUUUUUUUUUCUCUGUGCCUCAUGUUUGAAAAAACAUUACACCAGGGAUGUGCAAGUGGCGGCCCUCAGUGAGGAAGAGACAUCCAGCCAUGGYUAAGAAUGGAGGAAAGAAAACUGGACAGAAACAAAACCAUGCAGGAGUCUGCACUCAAGGCGUCCUAUGCCGUCAUACUUCAGCUCGCUAAAGUUAAAAGCUACAAUGUCCAGUUGGGAAUUUAAAGCACUGAGGGGUAAAUGGGUUUACCAGCACCAUGAGCAAAACUCAGACACUCGUGUUUCCACCUGUAGUACAUCGUUGACUUUGGUAAGGCCCACUGGCCUCAUAUUCUCUACAACAGUAUUAUUGUAGAUAAGCACCACAUGGCUAAUGAACAGAGAGAGGGCUUGUUGAAGGUCAGCCUCUUCAUUUAGGAGCCCUCCAAUGAGAUGGCCCACUCUGCAUGGCUAAACCCAUCAACAUAAUAAUGCCAAGGACCCACCUUUUUAAAGUCUUGCAUCUUUUUUUUUUUUUCUACCUCCAUACCCCCCGCCCUGCUGGCCUGGCAUGCUUUACUUUAUACGUCUCUGAUAUUCCCCUUCAUCUGAAUUAUGUUGAUUUCCUCGUUUCUUUCUGAAAGGCUUUUAAAGGUCUUGGCAAUUAUCCCUCUCUGGAUGUGCUUAGAGAAGGAUGCUGUCCGUCCAGCGUGUGCUGAUGAUAGGGAAACAUGGUUUAACACAAUCAGAGAUGCAAAGCAACACUGCGUCAGGGUGCUGAUGUGACCGGGUGCCAAGGCCGGCCAAGGUCAUGUUCAUCUGCAUGAUUGAGGGAGAUGAAUUCUGCCCUGACCUCUGGAUCAUACUGGAAGGAAGUCCUAUAGUUUGUGUCUGUGGAGUGAAAAUUUGACCAUUUCU